AAUUGCUCUACCUGUCCUCCACUCCCACCCAAACCUUAACUCCCUCAUCUCACUCUCCUCUCAACGCCUCACGCCUCUCUCUCUCCUCUCAACGCCUCUCAAACCCUAACUCCCUCACUUCCCCUCUUUCUCUCCUCCCUUCUCCUCCCUAAUCCUCCCUCAUGCACUGAAUAAUCGAAGGAUCCCACACAAAGAAAUGAAAAUGAAGAACGAAAAUCGAAGAAACCUACACAAAGAACGAAAAGCGAAAUUGGGGAAUUAAGAGUGAAACGAAGAAAGGCUGCCCUUUUCAAUUUUCAACCUAGUGGGCUUGGACAUACCUUGGAGAAUGAAUUAGAAUUGAUAUGAAAGGUUUGAGGCUUAGGUAUUUGGAUGAGUGUUUCAUUGGAUUGGCCCAGAUAAGGAUUAUGGCUUUGGAUUAUACGGGACCAGGUAAGGGGUUAUAUGUCUUCUCUUUAUCUGGAUACCAAGGUAAAGUUUAUGUGUUUUAUGUGUUUUAAAGGUUUAAUGAAUUGAAGGGUUUGAAAUGAGGGACAUAUUGCAAGCCCCCUAGCUUAGCUUAGCUUGACUUUUACUUUUUGCUUUUGGCUCUUUACUUUUGCAUUGAUUUUUUUCGCUCUCGCUUUUGCUUUUGAAUUUUAUUUUGCCAGGCAUUGACCUUUUUAUGUAUCGAGGAUUGCACAUAGUAUUUGUGGUUUAGAGUAUUGACAUGUUUGAAAGAUUUUUUGUGGAGUUUUGAGUUGAGAUGAUUUUUUUUUUUGUUGUUGUUGUUUGAAGAUGGUUCAUGGAUGUGAUGACAUUUUGAAAUGAUGGAUGGAAAGGGAAGGAAUUCCUUAACAGAAAGUAUGUCUAUUUAUUUAUUAUUUAUUUUUUAAUUUUUUUUUAAUUUAAUCAGAGGUCACUAUAAACAGAUUGAUUUGAGUUUCAUCAUUGAAUGUGAAGCAUGAAUGAUGCUAAAGAUUAAUGAAAUUAAAAAGAAAAAGCAAAUGAAAUUUAUAAAUGUUGAGGCUAUAAUAAAUGAAAGUCUUAGAGUAAUAUAGACCCGACAAAAAAUGACAUAGAUGGCUAGGGUAAGGAGUUUUCGACUCAACCUAAGUUAAGCGUGGUGCAUUAAAAUGACAUAAACUAAGCCUCUUGAAUCUCUUGAAUUGUGGAUACACUGUUCAAGGGUUGGUGGUGAUUCUGACUCCUGUUGUAAGACGUAUAGCCUGCUAAUUGAACCCCCUUACUCUCUCCUGUCCAGUCCUUAAAACGAUCGUUAUUGUAAGAGAGUUUGCUAAAGCCACUGAAAAGUAAAAAAAAAAAAAAAAAAAAAAAA